AAUAACAACGCUGAGCCGUAUGUUCAGUGAGAAGCUGCAAUCUCUGCUCUCUCUCUUCCGUCCCCCAUGUCUCCUGAGAGGAAAGAAGUGAUAUUUUAGUCGCAUGCAGCUCCACAGAAGCAAGUACAUGAUAACACGAGGAAGAUGCAGAGCUGAGCUCGGACAGCACGUGGAGGCCCUGUGAGCCCGCACUUCUGGCAGCAUGCUGGAAGCCCUACCACAGAGCAGCUAUGGCAAGAAUUAAGAGGACAUCAAAACCGCAAACAAGCUACACUCCUGUGGAUUUGGGGAGAAACAAGACACUUAAACAUUCCUGUUAUGGUUUCCUUGGAACCAUCCAUACCAACAACUCUGUAAUACUAUGGGUUUUCUGUUUUCUUAACCCUUCAGGGCAUCCACUGAAUGAAAACUUCCUUAAGGAAAUAUUUCAACCAACUAGGUGGACUGGAAUAAAUUAAGCUCCGUGGUGUAUGGCCUUCUGACCCCUUCCCAUAGCCCAAGGUGCUGGAGGGAGAGGGAGAGACGGUUCUAUGUACAAAUUCCACCUCGACUUCCAUGGGAGUCUACUUGAGUUUUACUGAUACUGUUUACAGGUGACUUGUGUGGAAAAAAGUAACAAACACAUCAAGGAAAUAAAAAGUUAAAUUACCUUUGGAAGUCCCCAUCAAAUAUGUUUAGUAAAGGCACUCAAACCAAAAAAGUUGUAUGUAGUAGCACUGAUGAAAAUGACAGAAAACAGCUAUCAGCCCUUAAAUGAUGCACAUCUAAAAAUAAGGGUUUAGGUAAAAAUUUGGGGCCAAUUCAAUCUAAUUUAUAACUUCAAAGGAAAUAAUUCAAAGCAAUCAUCUCAUUCAAUUAGCUGAGAAAAUGAUACUCUUAGGAAAGGUUGGGAUGGGAAAGAAUAUAUAUAAGGGAUAUUGCAGUCAUUAAUACUUUUGAAGUAUAUAAUAAUAAUAAAUGCAAUUAAGAGGCUUAAUUAUUUGGCAUGUGCUAAAUAAUUAGAUUAUAAUAACUAAUAAUAAUAGUAAUAACUAUAAGAAUAAUAAUAGCAAGAAGAUGCAGAAGAAAUAGAAGAAAAAGUAAUUUCUUCUAGAAAUUUAAAAUACUCAGAAGUAUCAGUGAUAUAGCAUCUGUGAGAAUUUUUCUUUUUUGGAAUUAUUCAUUAAAAGUGCAAUAUGAUCUAUAAAGAUUAUGUUUUUCUUAAAUUAUUAUCAUUCAGGAAUACUGUGGAGCUAAUGUAAAUCAAUAAAAAUACAACUCACAAG